rnacentral:rRNA from 1 species
AGUGAACGCUGGCGGCGUGCUUAACACAUGCAAGUCGAACGGUAGCAGAUAGAAGCUUGCUUCUAUGCUGACGAGUGGCGCACGGGUGAGUAAUGUAUAGCUAACGUGCCCCUUAGAGGGGGAUAACAGUUGGAAACGACUGCUAAUACCCCAUACUCCUUUUAUAUUAAUUAUAGAUGGGAAAUGUUUUUUCGCUAAGGGAUCGGGCUAUAUGGUAUCAGCUAGUUGGUGAGGUAAUGGCUCACCAAGGCAAUGACACCUAGCUGGUCUGGGAGGAUGAUCAGCCACACUGGAACUGAGAGACGGGCCAGACUCCUACGGGAGGCAGCAGUGGGGAAUAUUGGACAAUGGACGGAAGUCUGAUGCAGCAAUGCCGCGUGGAGGAUGACACAUUUCGGGGCGUAAACACCUUUUAUAGAGGAAGAUAAUGACGGUACUCUAUGAAUAAGCACCGGCUAACUCCGUGCCAGCCGCCGCCGUAA